UGGUGCUUGCACUGGUUGGAUUAGUGGCGAACGGGUGAGUAAUACGUGAGUAACCUGCCUUUGACUCUGGGAUAAGCCUGGGAAACUGGGUCUAAUACCGGAUAUGACAAGGAACCGCAUGGUUUUUUGUGGAAAGGGUUUGUACUGGUUUUAGAUGGGCUCACGGCCUAUCAGCUUGUUGGUGGGGUAAUGGCUCACCAAGGCGACGACGGGUAGCCGGCCUGAGAGGGUGACCGGCCACACUGGGACUGAGACACGGCCCAGACUCCUACGGGAGGCAGCAGUGGGGAAUAUUGCACAAUGGGCGCAAGCCUGAUGCAGCGACGCCGCGUGAGGGAUGACGGCCUUCGGGUUGUAAACCUCUUUCAGCAGGGAAGAAGCGAAAGUGACGGUACCUGCAGAAGAAGCGCCGGCUAACUACGUGCCAGCAGCCGCGGUAAUACGUAGGGCGCGAGCGUUGUCCGGAAUUAUUGGGCGUAAAGAGCUUGUAGGCGGUUUGUUGCGUCUGCUGUGAAAGACCGGGGCUUAACCCCGGUAUUGCAGUGGGUACGGGCAGACUAGAGUGCAGUAGGGGAGACUGGAAUUCCUGGUGUAGCGGUGAAAUGCGCAGAUAUCAGGAGGAACACCGAUGGCGAAGGCAGGUCUCUGGGCUGUAACUGACGCUGAGAAGCGAAAGCAUGGGGAGCGAACAGGAUUAGAUACCCUGGUAGUC
rnacentral:rRNA from 1 species